CAUUGCGCAACACUAACAUAUAACCCACAACAGCAUCCCUACCCGCUGUACAGUCUCACAUUGAGGGCAGCAUGUCUUCUAUAUAUUACCUGUUGUUCCUUCUCUAUAUGCUAGGAGUAGAAGCAUUCUUCCCCAACAGACUGGCGACAACACGUGGACUCACGACGACCUUACUGAGCAGGGUGUCCUCAGAGCUGUGGCAGCCUAUUUUGAGGCCAAUAACACCGUAUUCUCUGAGAGAGCGUUAUCACGCAGAUCGAACCUGACUGCCAGUUACUUGUUUCGUCAAUUCUAUGGUGAGGCCAGCUCGGCGCCGAGACUGCGAGCAGUGAUCAGGACAAUAGUACACGCCAAUAACAGGGUGGACCUGGAUCACCCCCAUACAGCGGCCUGGCAUUGUAGUGGAGAGGACAUCAGAGCGGCCCACAACCUGAUGAUUCAGCUUCGCGAGGAUGUGAUAAAAGUUCUACAGUUUGCUAAUCCAAACUAUGACUUGGCAAGAGAGUUGAUUGGUCAAUACUUGCAUAUACUACAAAUGUUUUACAGUAACACGAACUGGGUUGAAAUAAAAGGAGCAACGCCCUACUUUUCCCUUGGUAUUAGAGGCAAAGUACUGUACGCCCAAGCGCCACCUGAAAUGGAUACUUGUCGCUCAUGUG